UUAAGAGGAGAAUUUUUUCUAUGUCGCGUAUCAUGCGGUCAAAACGUAUGACGUCAUCGCAUGCGAUCUCAUUAUGCAAUUUAAAGAUGGCAGCUUGUUAAUUGCCGAUUUGCCGGCUGUUUACUUCAAUGAAAUUUCGUUCUGUUGCCGUUCUCUAUAAGGUUCGAAGGAAGCCUUGCAGAAUAUUUUUCUCUUCACAAGAUCAUUUUAAACGGAGUAUAUAUAUAUAUGGCUGGAGAAUUGCUAACAGGAAGGUGCCGGGGAGAGAAUUUUUAAGAGAGUUUUCACAUAUAUUUUGAAGAAUCGAACUACUAUGGUGACAAGGUCUGUCUACUCUGUGCAGACUGUUCUUGGCUAGGGGGUCGGUGGAUAAUACAAAGCAAAAGGUAUGUUGUAUACAUGUGCUAUAUAUCUUAAUUGUUUUUUUACUAAUUCUAGAUUAAAAAUUACUUUUGAGCAUUCGUUGGAAUAUAUUUUUUGAAUACAAUUCGCCAAACAGGAAAAUUUGCUUUCAAUGCAUGCAGUUUAUAGAAGGGAAAUUGUGGUUUUUGUAUUAUUUUUGCAGUUAAUUUGUCUG
rnacentral:lncRNA from 1 species